rnacentral:tRNA from 1 species
GGGGAUUUAGCUCAGUGGUAGAGCGCUUGCCUAGCAAGCACAAGGCCCUGGGUUCAGUUCCCAGCUCUG